rfam:Ixodes scapularis strain Wikel colony gcontig_1107728724680, whole genome shotgun sequence.
UGGUCUAAUCGGUUAAGGCGUCGCCCCGGACAGGCGAAGGUUGCGGGUUCAAUCCCCGC